AAUACGUUUUGGUGAUGGUACGGCGACAGGCGCGGAAGGGAG
rnacentral:SRP_RNA from 12 species